AGACCCAUCAAGCCUGGCUUGGUAUUGGGCGUCGGGCUGACCGCCCGCGCCUCUAUUCUCCCGGCUGGACGGUUAGAAUCUCAGCGUUGUGCAAUCAAUUCGCUAGAGAGGACGACCGGCCGCGCCGUUAAACCCAUCAAA
rnacentral:misc_RNA from 2 species